UUAAUAGCAUUGCUUCCCUGUGAUCUCUAACCCACCACAAUUGAAAUGACAAGCGUUGAAAUGGGGGCCUCACGGUGGCGCCCUCUGCCUUUGCCGGCCCUUUCUGCAGCACGGAGCGCUUCACGCCGCAGAGCACCGGUUCUCAAACUUGAAUAAUGCCU
rnacentral:lncRNA from 1 species